rnacentral:lncRNA from 1 species
UUUGUGUUUUACCUUCAUCUCCAGAGCCAUGAGCGUUACUUUCAGGCGGGUAUCCUCGGGCCUGCAUCCUUCAUACAAUGGAGUAACCAUGUCUAUCUCCAGUUGAUCCAGCUUGGCUUUCUCUCGGGCGGCAGCUCUUGCGUUAUCCGUCUGCUUGAGAAGCAGCUCUUGAAUAUGAGGGUCCUGCACCUAGGCCAUCGAUGGUCCAUCGUCGUCUGCUCCGGCAUCUUCAUCUCCAUGAUCAUGCCCUCGUCUGCUCCGGGAUCUUCCUCAUCAUCAUGUUCGGCAUCUUCUACAUGAUGACCGUGUCCUGGAGAUUCUUCGUCUUCUCGCCCGCCCUCGCCGCGGUUGUCUUGCUCAUGCCCUUCCUCAUUUCUUUCUCGUCCCCCAUGGACGACUUCAUAAUCAUCUUCAUCACCUUGCCACCGAUAGACAUCCAUGAAACCACGCAAGAGCAGGUGGUCCCGCACCUUUACGGAAUCCGGGUCCAUAAGGCUCUUCAGCUUGCAUCUUCGACACGGACAUCUUAUCUCCGUCUCGUUCUUUUGAAGCAUCUCGGCCUUCGCGGAGCUCAAAAACCUAUUCACGAUGCCUUCGGUCAUCGUGCGGACCAUGGUCACCUGCGGGGUAGAGCAAAACGAUAUUUUAGAACCAAAAAAAAAUUGGCAUGACUUUGCCUAAAAAUAGGACAAAAAAGAAUGCAUAGUGCCAAAUUCUCGCCGAAACGGAAAUGAAUCAACAUUCCGGGAAAAUAUUGGCAACUAUCGCAUUUCAAAUACCAGUACCUGCAAACACAAACAUAUAUGCAACACCACGAACAUAUGCAACACAACAAACUUACGUAGAUCUAGCUAGGCCAUAAAAAGUGCAUGUGCACGUUGUUGGAGGGAGAAAAAAGUAGAUCUACAACAUAAAAGUUUUUCCCUUACUUACCUAUCAAAAAAAGGUAAUUUAACCACUUAAUUUGGGUGAAUCUAUGAUGCAAAUGAGGUGAGGAGGAGGAGGCACCCGAGACAAGCUUGGAGGAGGAGGUGGAGAGAAUGAAAGUGGGAAAAGUGAGUGUGGUAGGUGGCUGUCCAAAAUAUCUAGCUAGUCCCAGGUUACUAAUGGCGCACCACCUACAUAUGCGCCAUUAGUAACCCUGGUUACUAAUGGCGCACCUCCUCUGGUGCGCCAUUAGUAGUUCUGUAAAAAAAAUAGUAGUGGCACACCAUGUGAGAUGCGCCAUUAGUAACACUGGUUACUAAUGGCGCACUAGCUAUGGUGCGCCACUAGUAGUUUGCAAAAAAAAACCCAAUUUUUUUUAUAGUAGUGGCGCACUACUAACAGAUGCGCCAUUAGUAACCCUUUUUACUAAUGGCGCACCAGCUGCUGGUGCGCCAUUAGUAGUUUCGCAAAAAAAAAUAUAUAGUAGUGGCGCACCGAGUGUGUGGUGCGCAUUAGUGUCCACCACACUAAUGGCACACCUCACAUGGUGCACCACUACUAUAUAGUAGUGGCGCACUGCUUGUGUGGUGCGCCAUUAGUAUCUAUAUCAUCUAUAGCCCUUUCCCUAGUAGUGCUCCAGUCUCUCCCACCAAGCUACAAAGGUUUUGUGCUGAACUACAACAUGCAAGGGAUGGAGAAGACCAUUCCCGAGUUAUACUCGAUGCUCAAGUCUGCAGAAGUAGAAAUCAAGAAAGAGCAUCAAGUGUUGAUGGUCAACAAGACCACUAGUUUCAAGAAGGGCAAGGGUAAGAAGAACUUCAAGAAAGACGGCAAAGCCGUUGCCGCGCCCGGUAAGCCAGAUGCCGGGAAGAAGAAAAAGAAUGGACCCAAGCCUGAGAUUGAGUGUUUCUAUUGCAAGGGAAAAGGUCACUGGAAGCGGAACUGCCCCAAAUACUUAGCGGACAAGAAGGUCGGCAACGUUAAAGGUAUAUGUGAUAUACAUGUUAUUGAUGUGUACCUUACCAGCGCUCGUAGUAGCUCCUGGGUAUUUGAUACCGGUGUUGUUGCUCACAUUUGCAACUCAAAGCAGGAAAUGCGGAAUAAGCGGAGACUGGCAAAGGACGAGGUGACGAUGCGCGUCGCGAAUGGCUCCAAAGCCGAUGUGAUCGUCGUCGGCACGUUACCUCUACAUCUACCGUCGGGAUUAGUUUUAAACCUUAAUAAUUGUUAUUUAGUACCAGCUUUAAGCAUGAACAUUGUAUCAGGGUCUUGCUUAAUGCGAGACGGCUACUCAUUUAAGUCAGAGAAUAAUGGUUGUUCUAUUUAUAUGAGUGAUAUGUUUUAUGGUCAUGCUCCGCUGGUGAAUGGUUUAUUCUUGAUGAAUCUCGAUCGUGAUGUUACGCAUAUUCAUAGUGUGAGUACCAAACGAUGUAAAGUUGAGAAUGAUAGUCCCUAAUACUUGUGGCACUGCCGCCUUGGUCAUAUCGGCGUUAAGCGCAUGAAGAAGCUCCAUACUGAUGGACUAUUAGAGUCUCUUGAUUUUGAAUCAUUUGACACAUGCGAACCGUGCGUCAUGGGCAAGAUGACUAAAACUCCAUUCUCAGGAAUAAUGGAGAGAGCAACCGACUUAUUGGAAAUAAUACAUACUGAUGUGUGUGAUCCAAUGAACGUUGAAGCUCGCGGUGGCUAUCGCUAUGUUCUCACUCUCACCGAUGAUUUCAGUAGGUAUGGGUAUAUCUACUUGAUGAAGCACAAAUCUGAGACAUUUGAAAAGUUCAAGGAAUUUCAGAGUGAGGUCGAGAAUCAACGUGACAGAAAAAUUAAGUGUCUAUGAUCUGAUCGUGGAGGAGAAUAUUUGAGUUACGAAUUUGGCACACACCUAAGGAAGUGUGGAAUCGUUUCACAACUGAUGCCGCCUGCCACACCGCAACGCAACGGAGUGUCUCAACGUCGUAAUCGCACUUUAUUAGAUAUGGUACGAUCUAUGAUGUCUCUUACCGACUUACCGCUAUCAUUUUGGGGAUACGCAUUAGAAAAUACAGCAUUCACUUUCAAUUAGGGCACCGUCUAAAUCCGUUGAGACGACACCGUAUGAACUAUGGUUUGGCAAGAAACCUAAGUUGUUGUUUCUUAAAGUUUGGGGUUGCGAUGCUUAUGUGAAGAAACUUCAACCAGAAAAGCUCGAACCCAAAGCGGAGAAAUGCGUAUUCAUAGGAUACCCUAAGGAAACUAUUGGGUAUACCUUCUAUCUUAGAUCCGAAGGUAAAACCUUUGUUGCCAAGAACGGAUCCUUUCUAGAGAAAGAGUGUCUCUCGAAAGAAGUAAGUGGGAGGAAGGUAGAACUUGAUGAAGUAAUUACAUCCCCUCUCGAAUAGGAUAGUAGCGCAGCGCGGGAAGUUCUUCAUGUGGCGCCUACACCAACUGAAGAGGAAGUUAAUGAUAAUGAUCAUGAAGCUUCGGAUCAAGUUACUACUGAACCGUGAAGGUCCACGAGGGCACGCUCCGCACCAGAGUGGUACGGCAAGCCUGUGAUGGAAAUCAUGUUGUUAGACAACGGUGAACCUUUGAACUAUGAAGAAGCGAUGGCGGGCCCAGAUUCCAACAAAUGGCUUGAAGCUAUGAAAUCCGAGAUAGGAUCCAUGUAUGAGAACAAAGUAUGGACUUUGGUGGACUUGCCCGAUGACCGGCGAGCCAUAGAAAAUAAAUGGAUCUUCAAGAAGAAGACUGAUGCAAACGGUAAUGUAACCGUUUACAAAGCUCGACUUGUCGCAAAGGGUUUUCGACAAAUUCAAGGAGUUGACUACGAAGAGACUUUCUCUCCCGUAGCGAAGCUGAAAUCAGUCCGAAUCAUGUUAGCAAUUACCGCCUUUUAUGACUAUGAAAUUUGGCAAAUGGACGUCAAAACAGCGUUCCUUAACGGGAACCUUAAGGAAGAGUUGUAUAUGAUGCAACCAGAAGGUUUUGUCGACCCUAAGGGUGCUAACAAAGUGUGCAAGCUCCAGCGCUCCAUCUAUGGGCUGGUGCAAGCAUCUCGGAGUUGGAACAUUCGCUUUAAUGAGGUGAUUAAAGCGUUUGGGUUCAUACAGGUUUACGGAGAAGCCUGUCUGUACAAGAAAGUGAGUGGGAGCUCUGUAGCUUUCCUCAUAUUGUAUGUGGAUGACAUAUUAUUGAUGGGGAACAAUACAGAAAUGUUGGAGAGCAUAAAUGCCUAUUUGAACAAGAGUUUUUCAAUGAAGGACCUUGGAGAAGUUGCAUACAUAUUAGGCAUCAAGAUCUAUAGAGAUAGAUCGAGACGCCUCAUAGGUCUUUCGCAGAGCACAUACCUUGACAAGAUACUGAAGAAGUUUAAUAUGGAAAACUCAAAGAAAGGGUUCUUGCCAGUUUUGCAAGGUAUGAGAUUGAGUAAGACUCAGUCGCCGACCACGGCUGCAGAUAGAGACAAGAUGAGUACUGUCCCCUACGCUUCAACCGUAGGCUCUCUAAUCUAUGUCAUGCUAUGUACCAGACCUGAUAUAAACCUUGGCAUAAGUUUGGUAGGGAGGUACCAAAGUGAUCCCGAUAUGGAACACUAGACAGCGGUCAAGAAUAUCCUUAAGUACCUGAAAAGGACUAAGGAAAUGUUUCUCGUUUAUGGAGGUGACGAAGAGCUCGUCGUAAAGGGUUACGUCGACGCUAGCUUCGACACAGAUCCGGAUGACUCUAAGUCACAUACCGGAUACAUAUAUGUUUUUGAAUGGUGGGGCAGUGAGCUGGUGCAGCAGCAAGCAAGAAGUCGUGGCAUCAUCUACAUGUGAAACGGAGUACAUAGGUGCUUCAGAAGCGGCUCAUGAAGGAAUUUGGAUGAAGGAGCUCAUCACCGACCUUGAAGUGGUUCCAAACGCGUCGGGUCCAAUGACACUCUUUUGUGAUAACACUGGGGCCAUUGCCAUAGCCAAGGAGCCCAGGUUUCACCGGAAGACGAAGCACAUCAAAUGCCGCUACAACUCCAUCCAGGACCAUGUCCAGAGUGGAGUGAUAGAUAUUUGUAAAGUACGCACGGAUCUAAAUGUUGCAGACCCGUUGACUAAACCUAUUCCACGAGCAAAACAUGAUCAACACUAUAAUGCUAUGGGUGUUCGAUACAUCACAAUGUAACUAUAUUAUUGACUCUAGUGCAAGUGGGAGCCUGUUGGAAAUAUGCCCUAGAGGCAAUAAUAAAAUGGUUAUUAUCAUAUUUCCUUGUUCAUGAUAAUCGUCUAUUGUUCAUGCUAUAAUUGUAUUAACAGGAAACAGUAAUAUAUGUGUGAAUAAAUAGAUCACAAUGUGUCCCUAGCAAGCCUCUAGUUGGCUAGCUCGUAAGUCAAUAGAUGAUCAUGGUUUCCUGGUCAUGGGCAUUGGAUGUCAUUGAUAACGGGAUUACAUCAUUGGGAAAAUGAUGUGAUGGACAAGACCCAAUCCUAAGCGUAGCACUAGAUCGUAUUGUUCGUAUGCUAAAGCUUUUCUAAUGUCAAGUGUCUUUUUUUUCGACCGUGAGAUUGUGAUACCGUAAUAGUGCUUUGGGUGUAUCAAACGUCAUAACGUAAUUGGGUGACUAUAAAGGUGCACUACGGGUAUCUCUGAAAGUGUCUGUUGGGUUGGUACGAAUCGAGAUCGGGAUUUGUCACUCCGUGUGACGGAGAGGCAUCUCUAGGCCCACUCGGUAGAACAUCAUCAUGAGCUCAAUAUGACUAAGGAGUUAGUCACACGAUGACGUGCUACAGAAAGAGUAAAGAGACUUACCGGUAACGAGAUUGAACAAGGUAUAGGUAUACCGACGAUCGAAUCUCGGGCAAGUUCUAUACCGACAGACAAAGGGAAUUGUAUACGGGAUUGAUUGAAUCCUUGGCAUCGUGGUUCAUCCGAUGAGAUCAUCGUGGAGCAAGUGGGAGCCACCAUGGGUAUCCAGACCCCGCUGAUGGUUAUUGACCGGAGAGGUGUCUCCGUCAUGUCUGCCUGUCUCCCGAACCCGUAGGGUCUACACACUUAAGGUUCGAUGACGCUAGGGUUAUAGGGAAUUGUUAUACGAGGUUAUCAAAAGUUGUUCGGAGUCCCGGGUGAGAUCCCGGACGUCACGAGGAGCUCCGAAAUGGUCCGGAGGUAAAGAUUGUUAUAUAGGAGGGAUGGUUUCGGACACUAGAAGUGUUUCGGGCAUCACCGGUAACAUACCGGGACCACCGGGACCACCAGAGGUGGCCCCGGAGGUCCACCGAAGGGGGGCAACGACCCCGGGAGGCUAGAUGGGCCAAGUGGGGAAGGGAACCAGCCCUUAGGUGGGAUGGUGCGCCCCCCACUCAGCCCAUGGCGCAGGAAGAGGGGAGAGGGNCCCUAUAUAUAAUGGGCACUUUUGGCCAUUGGGGAACAGACUUUUGCCUCUCCCUCGGCGCAGCCCUGCCCUUCUUUCUCCUCCUCUCUGCCGGUGCUUGGCGAAGCCCUGCCGGGAGACCUCGUCUCUCCAUCGACACCACGCCGUCGUGCUGCUGGAGUUCUUCCCCAACCUCUCCCUCCUCCUUGUUGGAUCAAGGUGCGGGAGACGUCACCGGGCUGCAUGUGUGUUGAACGCGGAGGUGCCGUAGUUCGGUACUAGAUCGGAAUCACACCGCGAUCUGAAUCGUCGCGAGUACGACUCCAUCAACCGCGUUCUAGUAACGCUUCCGCUUAGCGAUCUUUAAAGGUAUGAAGAUGCUCUCACCCCUCUCUCGUUGCUGGUCUCUCAAUAGGAAGAUCUGAAUAUGCGUAGGAAAAUUUUGAAUUUAUGCUACGUUACCCAACAGUUUUACCACAGUGGUGGUGCAUGUCUUCGGAGAUGUUGUUCCACUCUGCUUGCCCGAGGUUUGGGAUGGUGGUUGGCUGGUUUGAGGUGGGUGGUCGAUGGUGGUGGUGCGCCUGUUCUGGGGUCGACGAUGAUGUGUGUCGUGCUCGAGUGCUCCUGGUGCAUCUCUACUUGACGGUCCCUGCGGCUACUCUCUUGGCACACAGGUGUCGUGGCGUCGUCUCGGCCUUGCGUGGACUUUGACUGUGCCUUGCGAUGCAGGUCCUGUGUCCCGGCGUUGUGCAAUCUAGGCUUGUGAGGUGCCGUUGGAUUGUGUGGACGAUGCAAUGUUGUGGUUUGGUCUGGCUGGCCACUGUUGUGGUUUUCUUUUCUUUCCAUGUUCUCCCUUUACGUGUGUUGUCCGCGUCCGUUUUUUUUUGUUUGUCCCUUCUUUCUUGUGUCCCCUGUACUUCUGGUUCACUUGAACCCUAUCUUGUAUUAUUAGGCUGCAAUUCAGGUGGAGGUGCUUUGUUCCAAAUGCAUAUUUGUAGGACUCUAAGGCCUAUUUAUUCUCAGGCUAAGCAUGUGCUAAUGUUCUCUCGUCUUCUUUGUACCAUGCGGAGAAGACCCUCCGGUUUUGGCUUUGUUGCACGAAAGGGAAGACCAAUGAAGAUAGGAUGUGGCUUGAUCUUAGUGGACUUUGUGUGCCAAGUGAUGUCAUCAUGUUUUUCUUUUUCUUUUUUCUAGAUCCUGUGUUUUGUAGUAGAUGAAUAUAUUUGCUGAUUUUUCUGCCGAGUCCAAAAGCAAACAAAUUACGUAUAGAUAUAGCCAUGCACAUGCACGCUCGAUAGACAUGCAACUGCAUUUGCACACGGCCGGUGAAGAAGCAUUUGCGCACGGCCGGCAGGAUUUGCACGCCAGUUGAGCGAUGGGCAUGCACUCGCCCACGUCUGACAGGGAAGUUGCAUGUCUACGUGCCGACGUGCGUACCUGGAGGCUGGUGCAAAUGUGUACUGCACGAUCUGGCCGUACUACCUGAGACUAUCCACAAUGAAAGUAACAUAGGUAGUAACAUAGAUGUCAUCUAAACAAAAAAUAUGAUGUGAUAACUAAUUAAUGGGAAAAGAGAAAAAUUAAAUAACUUAGCAUGUUACUCAUACUAGGAAUAACAUAACGGAUAUAUACCAAGGCAAGAUGAGUCUAUAGGCUAAAAAAAAUGAAAGGCUCAAUGUUAUUACCUUUAUGUUACUAUUCACUAUGGAGGUAGUAACUUAGAGGGUGCUUGGAUCCAAGGAACUAAAACUAGUUUGACUAAAAAUAGUCUUUUUAAGAGGCUAAAGUUCCAAGCACCCCUGACUAAAGAGGGGCUAAAACUAGUCUUGAGGCUAAUUUUUUUUAGUCAGGGGUACCCCUACUAAAAUAUGAAUUAGUCCUCUCUCUCCUCAUUUAACUCCUCUCCUUUAACACAUACGAGUUCUGGAUUGGAGGGUUUGAAGGAUAAUAAAUGCUCAUUAACUUAAUUUUAGUCUUUUUAGUAUUUGGAUCCAAGCAUGGGUGAGGCUAGCAAGUUUUAGUCCCACUACUUUUAGUCAUGGGACUAAAACGUAUAUAAGCACCCUCUUAGACUAGUAACAUGUGUAUGUUAUUACUCUAUGUUACUCCCCAUUGUGAGUAAAAAAAAUUGAAUGGCAGGUGCUCUGCCUUUUCAUUAAAUGAGCAGUCGUCCAGUGGACUCUGCCUGUACAUAAUAAGGGGUCUACAGCGCUAGUCUUAGAAAAUCAAGGUCAGCUUUAAUUAGAGAGGUCACACCAUCCGCCGAGGUAGAUUUAGCGUUGAAGAUCCGUCUGUUCCUCUCGUUCUAGAUGUGCCAAGCAAAGUAAGCAGCAGCAACGACCUGCUCUCUGGUGUUCUGGGAGCAAAUGCGCCACCAUUGUGAUAUCGACUGAAGGUGUGCUGGCUGUGUUGGAUAGCACAAUGGGUGUGCUAGGUGUAGUCUGUUCCAAACCCCCAUGGAGAAAAGACAUGUGCUGAAGAGGUGAAGAGCAGUUUCAGGGAGCUGGCGGCAGAGAGCACGUCGUGGUGUGAUCACUUCCAUGUGCUCUCAACCUGUCAGUGGUUGGUAGUCUGUUUUGAGCCAAAGUCCAAAUGAAGAACUGCACCUUUCUUUCAAUCUUGAGUCUUCAGAUGCGGUUAGCAUCAGGUUUGGCGACAGAGCCAAUGGACUGGCAUGAAUAUGCGGACUUGGCGGUGUAACUAUUGUUCUUCGUCCAGAUCCAAGCGAUGGUAUCUCUAGUUUCAGAUAAGUUGACAUUCUGAAUCUUCUCCCAUGGAAGCAGAAAGGAGUGCAGGUCAUCAUGGGAGUUGAUUCAUUCCAAAAUAAGUGUCUUAACUUUAUACUAGCUCUAGUACAAAAUUUCGGAGGUGCUACAGAUGGUUAAUAGACAAUCUAUCAUAGAGUUGCUCAAAAAAAGGAAAAACUACAAUCUAUCAUAGAAGAUGUUUCUACUCCCUCCGUUCCAAAAUAAGUGUCUUAACUUUAUACUAGCUCUAGUAGGCUGGUCACAAUGGAGAGUAACAUAAGGUAGGAACCUACACGCUUUCCUAGACUAUGUUCCUACCUCCACAAUGGGGAGUAACAUGUAUGUAGUGUCAUGCAACAAUGCAUUUAUUACGCUAUAGACUCAUUGUUUCUUGGAGUGUGUGAUGUUCCGGUAACUUAGCUAGUUACCACAAGCACCUCUCUCUUCACUAAAUACGUGCCACAUAAGCAAAGUUGUAUUGGAGUGUGUGAUGUUACUGCUAAGUUCCUCCCCAUUGUGACCAGCCGUACAAAAUUGCAUUAAGCUUAAGACACUUAUUUUAAGACGGAAGGAGUAUUAAUUACUGUCUAUAAUUGACGUGAAGGAUUGUUACAGACCGUCACGGCGUCACCGGCUCCAGGAAGUGGCGCCACGUACGCGGUAUCUAGCUAGCUCGCCGCGUCAACGCGUUGACAUGCACUGGGUCGUCACGCUAUGUAUACUGAGUACGGAACAUGGAUAUGCGCCGCUAGUCUCGCCGUAGUUGGCAAGUUGCGCUAAUUGCACCAGCUCUACGUCGGCAACAUGCAUGGUGGAUUGACGACGACGCGAUGAGAUGAAGGAAGAAGAAAGAAUAUGGCUACGUAGAUUAGUGAAAGUAGCAAAAAAACCCGUGCGUUGCAACGGAAGAGAAAAUAACACACGCUUUGAACACAAUAUAUUUUCAUAUGGCAUCACAUUUGUGUUGCCGACGAUGGCCUCAAUGCUCACACAACGAAAACGCGUUUGAAUGUACAAUCACUCGGAAUAAGAUGAGAAAUAUGUUGUUUCUCCCCACAAGAUUUUCCAAAGGUGUGCAUGUGUGGUUAACGAUGUUUUCUUUCCUCUCAAUUUAGUUUUAAUUUAAUGGAUAUUUAUUGCAAUUCGUAUGGUCGCCGGAAAGAGAGAAAAAAAAGGACCAUGCACUACAGAUUAAGUUUGCACCAAAAAUAAUAUUUAAGAAGUAUUUAACAGCUAAAAAUAACAUCCUAUUUAGACUCUACACAUUUUUCAAUCAAAUUUCAUAUAUAACAUGUUAAAAUCGGAGUUACGGUUUAAAAGAUAUGGAUAAUUUUGUUUUAGAUAAAAUAUGGAUUGAUUAACUGAAAAGUGAGGUUUUUUUUGUUAAAACAAAAAAACGUUUCGGCUGACUUAAAUAAGGACGGCGGGUUGAUUACCUGAAACAUCAGGGAGUUUUUUGAAAAAUGAAAAGAACGGUUCGGCUGUGACUACAAGAUGGACCGCGGGUUGAUUAUAUAAAACUGUGAGGGCUUUUGUGCAAAAUGACAGAAAACGGUUCGUUCUGACUUACAAUUGGAAUGUGGGUUAAUUACCUAAAACUGCGAGGGUUUUUCUGCAAAAUGACCGACGACGGACAACAGAAGCGCUGCGCGCUUUAUUAUUAGGGGAGAUGUGGACCGACAGCUAGCUUGGACGUACGGUAGCUAGCUACUGGCCUAGUGCAUGCAUAUACAGUACAAAAUACAAAUACAAAUACUACUACAUGGAGGAAGUACAUAUAAGAGAUAUGCUCUCACAUCAUAUUUGUGUCUUUGUUGGAGAAGAGAGGAUAGGAGAGAGAGAGAGAAACGGGCUACAAUAUAUCCGGCUGUAACCCGUGCUCCAAUACUCUUUGUGAGAGAAAGAGAUGGAUCAUGUUUUAAUGUUAUAUCCUACUAAUAUCACUAACUAUUGUAUGAACGGUUUAUUAGAUUGCUUAUAACUAGCAAAAGGACCCGUACGUUGCAACGGGAGAAAAAAAUACCACACGUUUUUAAUCUUUUUAUAAUCAUUUUGAUUUAUUAAAAUAAUAAGCUAACUAACUAAUGUAGUCAGUCAUAUCCUAUUUUAUUGAGAAAUCAACCCGUUCAUUGUUAAUUCCACCAUGAUGAGAAAUUGAGUGGGACAAGCAAAGCAAAACAAAGAGGCUACGUGAAUUGAUCAAUGGACUGUUAUCUUAUUUCACUCAUGUGAUAGAGAAUGUGGGAUCAGAUGACAAACUGAAGGUGGUGUUCCAUUCUCUCUCUCUACAACAAUGCAAUCUUACAUUCAAUGCAUUUAUUCAUCAGCAAACAAAUUCUCACAAAACAAAAUUUCUUGUCGGUGCUUGGCACACAGUUAGAGGCAAAGGGAGGGAUCUCAUUAGAUGAUGAGUACCUGCCGGAGGAGGGGAUACGAUGAGGGGAGCAAAGGGUUAGGCGCCUCUAUCUGGCCAUAAGGAGUCGCCGUUGCCGCGCCAUAACCUCGGAGUUCCCCGUGUGAGCCAUGGAGGCAUGCCUCCACCUGCAAGUACUUCGCUCUGCCGCGCCUUAUCCGUGUGCCGCCGUCGUUCUGCGUCGAGCAGACGCAUUAUCCCAAGUCGCUGUAGCUGUCGCGUUGAUUUGAUCCAGAAGCUGUGCUCGAGCGCCGAAACAGGGGCAGCAAGCGGGCACAGGCAGCGGUGGCGGUUGAGGUCGGCCGCGGCGGCCUGGGCACAGGCCAGGGUGGCCCAGGGUCGACGGGAGGAGGCGAUGCGUACGUGUAUAAUUUUUGCAGCGAAUCGUUUUUUCCUUUUCGUUGCAGAUAAAUGAUGAAGCACGGGUUGAAUAAUAAAAAUUACAGGUUUUUUUUAUUAAAAUGUCGUGGUGGGUUUUUCGACGGAAGCAAUAGCCGCUUUAUUAUUAGGGGUAUAGAGGUAUAGAUUGAGAUGACAACUUCAUAUAGCGGCUGGCGGCUGCCAUGCUCAUGCAUGCUCUGCAUUGCAUGCAUGUUUUAUGUAUGGGAUGGGACGCAUACAAACGUACGUACGUACGUACGUGCGGGCGAUCGACGCCAUUGACCAUCCCACAAUAAUCCUCUCGCGGAAGCGUCGAGAAAUUUGCACCACGGUAGCUUAGCAUGGAGAAACAGCCAGGCCGGAAAGCAUGGCUGGCUAUGGGGUUCCCACAUUCUCACGUCGAUCAAACCGUAAGUAACUCUCUCGGUCACCUCAAGGCCUGGCCUGACUUGAUUAAUGCAAGUGUGCAUGCAAUAAUGACCGUCUCGUGGUCGACCGCGGUGCACCCGUGCACACGCUUCUCAGGUAAGAAAAGCCGCCACUGACCACCCCCAUUGCUGGCCCGGCACGUACCCUCCUGCAGCUUUGCCUCUAGCUAGCUAGGUCAACUCCCCCCAGCUCUCAUUCACGCAUGGCGCCCAGCAGCUGCUAUAAGCCUAUAAGACACCACCAGCAUCAUCACCAUCACAAACACAACCACAACCAUCAACCCAGCAGGCAGCAGCACCCAACAAGUCACUAGCUAGCUAGCUUGUGGAGCGAGCCGCAGCUAGCAAUGGCGGUGCGGUGGCCGUCGACCGCCGUGGCCGCGCUGGGGAUCGGCGCGAGCCUCCUUGUCCUGUGCGUGCUCAUGGCGUCGCCGGCGUCGGCCCAGCCGCCGCCCAAGGCGGUGCCCAGGGUGCCCAAGGGCAGCAACCUGGUGGUGAUCAAGCCGCAGUUGGGGAGGCGCAACAGCCAGUUCACCUGCACCGACACCAAGAAGAAGCGCCCCGGCUGCCAGGCCACCUGCCCCAACCGCUGCCCCAAGGAGUGCCUCGUCAUGUGCCCGUCCUGCAUGACCUUCUGCCGUACGUGCUUCAUCACAUCACCCUCGCUUCAAUCCUCCUUCAUGUUUAAUUAAGGUGCGACGACUAAGUCUCAGUCGAACCAACACUUAACCAAGAAUCCGGUACGUUGGAAGAUCUAUAUCGGCAAAUUUAAGUCAAUCCGGUACGUCAGAUCUAUAUCGAAUGGCUGAUAGAGUGGACUAAGUUACAGUAAGGCUUGGCUUCAUCGAGUCACUGAAGCUGCGUCCAACUAGGUUUCACUCGAACCAGACUUAACCAAGAAAUGACAUAGUGUUUGAAAAAUGAAUUAUUAUCUUUUACACUCAACCUUGAAGUAAGAUCUCAUGAAUAUAGCAUCGGCCGAGACAUAAUUAAGUUUGAGUUGGCUGAGAUUUUAUCUAGGAGUAUAUAUGUAAGAUCUUCUUGCAUGGUGUACAUUUUGCAGUGUGUGACUUCUACCCAGGAGCGUCGUGCGGCGACCCGCGCUUCACCGGCGGCGACGGCAACAACUUCUACUUCCACGGCAAGAAGGGCGAGGACUUCUGCAUCCUCUCCGACGACGACCUCCACAUCAACGCCCACUUCAUCGGCAACCACAACCCCUCCACGAGCCGCGACUUCACCUGGAUCCAGGCCGUGGGGGUCCUCUUCGCCCACCACCGCCUCCACCUCGGCGCCGUUCACUCAGCUCACUGGGACUCCGCCGCCGACCACCUCGACCUCGCCUUCGACGACGAGCGCGUCCACCUCCCGCUCGCCGACGGCGCGCGCUGGUCCUCCGCGUCCGUGCCCGGGCUCUCCAUCACCCGCACGUCGCGGGCCAACAGCGUCGUCGUCGAGCUCAAGGGGGUGUUCCGGAUCGUGGCCAACGCCGUGCCCAUCACCGCCGAGGAGUCGAAGGCGCACGGCUACGGCGUCACCGCCGACGACUGCCUCGCGCACCUCGACCUCGGGUUCAAGUUCCACGCUCUCUCCGACGACGUCCACGGCGUGCUCGGCCAGACCUACCGCUCCGACUACGUCAACAAGCUCAACGUCGCCGCCAAGAUGCCCGUCAUGGGCGGCGCCGACGACUACGUCUCCUCGGCCCUGUUCGCCACCGACUGCGCCGUCACGAGGUUCGGCCGCCCCGCCGCGGCAACGGUUGUUGGCACCGCCGCCGGCGGCAUCGCCAUGGUCACCGACGCCAAGUACGUCUAGACGACCGGUCCAAGAGUCAACCAGCCCGGUACUUGCGUGCUGCCAUCUGGCGU